GACGAACGCUGGCGGCAUGCCUAACACAUGCAAGUCGAGCGAGUAGAUCCCUUCGGGGUGAAGCUAGCGGCGGACGGGUGAGUAACACGUGGGCAACCUGCCUCAUAGAGGGGAAUAGCCUUCCGAAAGGAAGAUUAAUACCGCAUAAGAUUGUAGUACCGCAUGGUAUAGCAAUUAAAGGAGCAAUCCGCUAUGAGAUGGGCCCGCGGCGCAUUGGCUAGUUGGUGAGGUAACGGCUCACCAAGGCGACGAUGCGUAGCCGACCUGAGAGGGUGAUCGGCCACAUUGGGACUGAGACACGGCCCAGACUCCUACGGGAGGCAGCAGUGGGGAAUAUUGCACAAUGGGGGAAACCCUGAUGCAGCAAUGCCGCGUGAGUGAUGACGGCCUUCGGGUUGUAAAGCUCUGUCUUCGGGGCCGAUAAUGACGGUACCCGAGGAGGAAGCCACGGCUAACUACGUGCCAGCAGCCGCAGUAA
rnacentral:rRNA from 1 species